rnacentral:rRNA from 1 species
CCUUGCCAGCCCGCUCAGAAACUUAAAGGAAUUGACGGGGCCCGCACAAGCGGUGGAGCAUGUGGUUUAAUUCGAUGAUACGCGAGGAACCUUACCUGGGCUCAAAUGUAUGUUUGACGUAUUCUGAAAGGGAUACUUCUUCGGACAAUAUACAAGGUGCUGCAUGGUUGUCGUCAGCUCGUGCCGUGAGGUGUCGGGUUAAGUCCCAUAACGAGCGCAACCCUAUCAUUAGUUGCCAUCAGGUCAAGCUGGGGACUCUAAUGAAACUGCCUACGCAAGUAGUGAGGAAGGUGGGGAUGACGUCAAAUCAGCACGGCCCUUACGUCCAGGGCUACACACGUGCUACAAUGGCCGGUACAAAGGGCAGCUACCUGGUGACAGGAUGCUAAUCUCAAAAGCCGGUCUCAGUUCGGAUCGGAGUCUGCAACCCGACUCCGUGAAGCUGGAAAUCGCUAGUAAUCGCGCAUCAGCCAUGGCGCGGUGAAUACGUUCCCGGGCCUU